rnacentral:rRNA from 1 species
UACAGAGGGUGCAAGCGUUGUUCGGAAUCACUGGGCUUAAAGGGUGCGUAGGCGGGCUGCCAAGUUUGAGGUGAAAUCCUCCGGCUCAACCGGGGAAGUGCCUUGAAUACUGGCGGUCUGGAGGGAGGUAGGGGCGUGCGGAACUAACGGUGGAGCGGUGAAAUGCGUUGAUAUCGUUAGGAACUCCGGUGGCGAAGGCGGCACGCUAGACCUCUUCUGACGCUGAGGCACGAAAGCCAGGGGAGCGAACGGG